GAUCCACGCCCAUUGACACGUCUUACAACUUUGUCUAAUGAUUCCCUGGAAAAAUCAGCGGAACUUCUCUCCACCCAUUGUAAUUUCCAUCCCUGAUUUUGCUUUUUCCGCUGCUAAUUCCCAGCAAUCAAACAGAAAAUAUAAUCGCAAUAGCAGUAUAUAAACAGGAAGAGGGAAAAAAGAAAAAGCUGAAGGUGGAAACAUGGAGGGAAAAGAGUGGAAAGGAAGGACCUUCAGAUUGUUUAUGGGUUCUGCUACACUUUUUCGCAGAGAAAGAAGAUGCGCGCGUAAAGCUGUUAGGGGCUGUGUAUAUAGCAGCGGUGCUACUGUGGGUGCCGCUGCAUCACAGCAUAUUAAUUGCUGACGUGUUUAACGUAUUAUAUAUAAAAAAAAUCAUUCCACAAAAAGGUCAUUUGUCUUUUUCUCCCCCAAAAAUAAAAAAUAAAAAUUCUAAUGGAUAACGUUUUUGGGUUGCGAAGAACUGGAAGAGAAUUUGCCAGUUUCAGUUUCCAGAACGUGGAAGUCUCACCUCAGACAUCCCAACUACUAAGCCAACGUUAAUAUUCUAUUGGAGCAUAAGUAGUGAGAUUGUGUUAAAGAGUUGAUAAAGAAAGAUGGCAUUAAGGCCAUUAAUCUCAAGACAAAAUCUACCAACCUUCGUCUGCUACCUAAAAUCCUCUUUUCAAGCUAAGGAGAAGCCAUUCCCUCCUCAAAAGAUCCUCCAAACCAGAAUCAGUAGAAGAAUAGGAUCAAUAGCAGCAAUGGCUUCAAUUCUCUUGGCAAGGGAAGCAGAAAUUGCAUUUGCGGCAGACUGGAGAAUUCUAGCUUCUGAACAAACAAUUGAAGAGGCAGAGAGAGAGAUCAGAAGUCAUGCACAGUCUUUGCUAGAUAUUAAAGCGUUUUUGGAGUCUGAGUCUUGGCAAGAAGCUCAGAAGGCGCUGCGAAAGAGCUCUUCAAACUUGAAACAUGACUUCUAUACCAUAAUCCAAAGCAAACCAGGAAGUGAGAGGCCUUACCUCAGGAAGCUUUAUUCUGAUCUCUUCAAUAAUGUUACCAAAGUAAGUAAUUGCUAAAACAUCAUCUUCUAUACGGUUAUUAGAAUGAUUCUUGUUCUCUUAUAAGUUCACCUCUUAACUCGAAGUAGAUUUUUGGCUCCUCAAAUUCAGUGAUGUUACCAAGUAAUGCCAGAACAAAAUCAUUUGUAGAAUGUGGUUGGAAACCUCAAAAGUGCGAGAAUUCAAUUUAUUUUGGAUAUUUUAUCAUAAAAUAAUUUCAAUUUUGACACUGAUUCUAAAUGAUAUGCUAAAGAUAUGAUAAUAAACCCUUUUCUUGAACUGUGAAGAACGCGUUUGGCAGCAUAGUACCCCAAGAACGAAAACGGUUGGGGUACCAUGCUGAGAAAGCAGCAGGAGAGAAAAUCCUCAAAACAAUUGUAUUUUGUUUCUUAGAGGGUUGUGCACAGCAGCACAAACCCGAGCACCAAACUUCCUUGAAGAAAAAAGAAAAAAUUAAAAUGACAGUAAUUUCCAGGUUCACGGUUUUAUUAAUGCCUUCGACCAAAAAAAUAAAAGGAACAAAAGUUUCAUUAAUGCAAAUCUCCUUGCAUGUCUGUUUUCCAUUGAUUAUAGUUUUGGAUUACUAAUCAAAUAUUAAAGACAUAAUAUCCUAUUUUAAUGGAUUUUGCAGCUAGAUUAUGCAGCGAGGGACCAAAAUGCCUCUCUUGUUUGGCAGUGCUACGGAAAUAUUGUGGUGGCCCUUGAUGACAUUUUGGGCAGAAUAUAAGUUACAUCACACUUCCAUUCUAGUAAAAACAGUAUACUUGUAGUUUUUUGGCCUGUAAUGUAAUGUUUGACAAUUGAAAUGAUACUAAUAUCGCCUACAUACUUUCAGUAAACUGAGCACUGUUCAAAUUGGUUUUUGAUAAGAGUAAAAUAAGUAAAGAGUCUUUAGGGGGGGGGGGGGGGGGGGGG
rnacentral:misc_RNA from 1 species